rnacentral:lncRNA from 1 species
AAAGAAAUUAAUUGCAAAACGCCACUAGGAAGUAUAUUCAUGAUGUAUGUCCUUCUUCCUCAGUAUUCACAUACGAAGUGUCUAACUUGGAGUUCAAAAAAUCCCCACCAGAGAUCAUUGCACCCUCUGGGAGAAAAGAAAAGAAGAAAAAGAAACAUCCCCCUUUUUCCCUUUCUUUCCCCUUUUUUUAUAACAUUAAUAUUAAACACUGAAAAUAAUAAAUAUAUAAUUAAAUUAAAACAUUGAUAAUAACUCACCGACAAUAAUCCAUAUAAGACAACGUCACAACAGAUCUAUAUAUAUCAGAUCUACAUAAAUUGGGG